AUUGAACGCUGGCGGCAGGCCUAACACAUGCAAGUCGAGCGAGCGGCGGACGGGUGAGUACUGUCUGGGAAACUGCCUGAUGGAGGGGGCUAACUACUGGAAACGGUAGCUACUCCCGCAUACCAUCAGAUGUGCCCAGAUGGGAUUAGCUAGUAGGUGGGGUAACGGCUCACCUAGGCGACGAUCCCUAGUUGGUCUGAGAGGAUGACCAGUCACACUGGAACUGAGACACGGUCCAGACUCAUACGGGAGGCAGCAGUGGGGAAUAUUGCACAAUGGGCGAAAGCCUGAUCAAGCCAUGCCGCGUGUGUGAAGAAGGCCUUCGGGUUGUAAAGCACUUUCAGCGGGGAGGCGUUACCCGCAGAAGAAGCACCGGCUAACUCCGUGCCAGCAGCCGCGGUAAUAC
rnacentral:rRNA from 1 species